rnacentral:rRNA from 1 species
GUGCCAGCAGCCGCGGUAAUACAGAGGCCUCGAGCGUUAGGCGGAAUCACUGGGCUUAAAGCGUGUGUAGGCGGAUUGCUAAGUACCUUGUGAAAUCCCACGGCUUAACCGUGGAACUGCUUGGUAUACUGGCUGUCUUGAGCCACUUAGGGGCGACCGGAACAAACGGUGGAGCGGUGAAAUGCGUAGAUAUCGUUUGGAACGCCAAAGGUGAAAACAGGUCGCUGGGAGUGUGCUGACGCUGAGACACGAAAGCCAGGGGAGCAAACGGGAUUAGAUACCCCCGUAGUCC